GUGGGGAAUAUUGGACAAUGGGCGAAAGCCUGAUCCAGCCAUGCCGCGUGUGUGAAGAAGGUCUUCGGAUUGUAAAGCACUUUAAGUUGGGAGGAAGGGCAGUAAGUUAAUACCUUGCUGUUUUGACGUUACCGACAGAAUAAGCACCGGCUAACUUCGUGCCAGCAGCCGCGGUAAUACGAAGGGUGCAAGCGUUAAUCGGAAUUACUGGGCGUAAAGCGCGCGUAGGUGGUUUUGUAAGUUGGAGGUGAAAUCCCCGGGCUCAACCUGGGAACUGCCUCCAAAACUGCAUGACUAGAGUACGGUAGAGGGUAGUGGAAUUUCCUGUGUAGCGGUGAAAUGCGUAGAUAUAGGAAGGAACACCAGUGGUGAAGGCGACUACCUGGACUGAUACUGACACUGAGGUGCGAAAGCGUGGGGAGCAAACAGGAUUAGAUACCCCAGUAGUCC
rnacentral:rRNA from 1 species